UAGUCAAAUAGACUUAUCAACUCACACUACAUAGUUUGCUGAUACUAGCACCAGGCAAGGCACUUGUCACUUACAAACCUACUAAUGGCCUCAUGGUUUUCAGUAGAUCAAAGGCAGAGCAUCAGAGUGUGAAAUGCAAUAGUCUUGAGUUUGACUCCUUUAUCCCAUGGUGGUGACAAAACAAAUAUCAUCUUCAUUCAAUGACUGAGCCCAAAUUAACCAUCUUUCUUUUUUAUUUGCUCACACAACCCUUUGGACAUGGUUGAUCCUGGCAAUAUGCAGGCUGCUUGACACUUUAGAACCUAGUUAAGGCCUACUUCACCUGUGUGUUCUCUGUAACUAAAUGUAAGGGUCUGGGGUUUGAUUAAUGGUGGAGACUCUGAUCUUUUGUUUUUCUGAUGCUCGUAAAAAAAUGAACAUCUUUCUAAUUACCUUAGAUAUAAUUGGUCUGAAUGACACUGGAUAGUUUUUCCCAACAUGUGUUCCUGCUUUCCUAACACUAUUCUAUUUCCAGGAAGAAAAUGUCCAGGGUACUUUAUACAAUGAAGAGAUAAUCUGGUUUCUGCACCAAGAAAGAUUUACAAGAACAUACAUGGAUCGUCAACAGAACACUCCAGUUGAACAUAGUGAUGAUGAGCUAGAAAACGUGCAAGGUACUAUAUACAAUGAACAGAUACUCUGGUUCGUUACUUUGGUAUUGGUGUUAAUCCUUCUACACCAAGAAAGGUA